rnacentral:rRNA from 1 species
AUUGAACGCUGGCGGCAUGCUUUACACAUGCAAGUCGAACGGCAGCGCGGGCUUCGGCCUGGCGGCGAGUGGCGAACGGGUGAGUAAUACAUCGGAACGUGCCCAGUAGUGGGGGAUAGCUCGGCGAAAGCCGGAUUAAUACCGCAUACGACCUGAGGGUGAAAGCGGGGGAUCUUCGGACCUCGCGCUAUUGGAGCGGCCGAUGGCAGAUUAGCUAGUUGGUGGGGUAAAGGCCUACCAAGGCGACGAUCUGUAGCUGGUCUGAGAGGACGACCAGCCACACUGGGACUGAGACACGGCCCAGACUCCUACGGGAGGUAGCAGUGGGGAAUUUUGGACAAUGGGCGAAAGCCUGAUCCAGCAAUGCCGCGUGUGUGAUGAAGGCCUUCGGGUUGUAAAGCACUUUUGGCGGGAACGAAAAGGACUGUACCAAUACCACGGUUCGAUGACGGUACCCGCAGAAUAAGCACCGGCUAACUACGUG